rnacentral:tRNA from 1 species
UCUAAUAUGGCAGAUAAGUGCACUAGAUUUAAGCUCUAAAUAUAAAGAAACCUUUUAUUAGAA